GAGCGAACGCUGGCGGCAGGCCUAACACAUGCAAGUCGAACGAACCUUUCGGGGUUAGUGGCGGACGGGUGAGUAACACGUGGGAACGUGCCUUUAGGUUCGGAAUAACUCAGGGAAACUUGUGCUAAUACCGAAUGUGCCCUUCGGGGGAAAGAUUAAUCGCCUUUAGAGCGGCCCGCGUCUGAUUAGCUAGUUGGUUGAGGUAAUGGCUCACCAAGGCGACGAUCAGUAGCUGGUCUGAGAGGAUGAUCAGCCACAUUGGGACUGAGACACGGCCCAAACUCCUACGGGAGGCAGCAGUGGGGAAUCUUGCGCAAUGGGCGAAAGCCUGACGCAGCCAUGCCGCGUGAAUGAUGAAGGUCUUAGGAUUGUAAAAUUCUUUCACCGGGGACGAUAAUGACGGUACCCGGAGAAGAAGCCCCGGCUAACUUCGUG
rnacentral:rRNA from 1 species